GACGAACGCUGGCGGCGUGCUUAACACAUGCCAGUCGAACGGAAAGGCUCCAGCUUGCUGGAGUACUCGAGUGGCGAACGGGUGAGUAACACGUGGGUAAUCUGCCCUGCACUCUGGGAUAAGCCUGGGAAACUGGGUCUAAUACUGGAUAUGACCUUUCUCCUUAUGGGGUUUGGUGGAAAGUUUUUCGGUGUAGGAUGAGCCUGCGGCCUAUCGGCUUGUUGGUGGGGUGAUGGCCUACCAAGGCGACGACGGGUAGCCGGCCUGAGAGGGUGAUCGGCCACAUUGGGACUGAGAUACGGCCCAGACUCCUACGGGAGGCAGCAGUGGGGAAUAUUGCACAAUGGGCGGAAGCCUGAUGCAGCGACGCCGCGUGAGGGAUGACGGCCUUCGGGUUGUAAACCUCUUUCAGCAGGGACGAAGCGUAAGUGACGGUACCUGCAGAAGAAGCACCGGCUAACUAUGUG
rnacentral:rRNA from 1 species